GCCGGAGUGGUGGAAUUGGUAGACGCACUCGACUCAAAAUCGAGCGAGAAAUCGUGCGGGUUCGAGUCCCGCCUUCGGCACCA
rnacentral:tRNA from 1 species